GAACUGAACAGUCACCAGUCGGCCGUCAAGGUCUGUACUGGUCUGUUCGUUCUCACCUAUGGGAUGCUCACCGCUACUCUUAACUGGGCGGCGGCUUCAAAAAGCAGGUGUAGGGCAAAACGGUAUACGUCUCGCGCGUGUACUGCCUACAACUGUGGAGUUCCCAUUCGUUUACUUUGAAUAAAUUAGGGUGUUCAAAGCAGCCAAAAAAGGAGGCAUGGAUACUACAGCAUGGGAUAACGGAAUACGAUUUCGGUUCGAUGUUUCGUUGGUUUCUAGGAUCGAAGUA
rnacentral:rRNA from 1 species